rnacentral:misc_RNA from 1 species
UGGUUCUGGCAUCGAUGAAGAACGCAGCGAAAUGCGAUAAGUAAUGUGAAUUGCAGAAUUCAGUGAAUCAUCGAAUCUUUGAACGCACAUUGCGCCCGUUAGUAUUCUAGCGGGCAUGCCUGUUCGAGCGUCAUUUCAACCCUCAAGCCCCGCUUGGUGUUGGGGACCUACGUUGUAGGCCCCGAAAUACAGUGGCGGACUCUCCGGAGCCUCCUUUGCGUAGUACUUACCCUCGCACUGGGACCCGGCGGGAUCCAGCCGUAAAACCCCCAAAUUUUACAAGGUUGACCUCGGAUCAGGUAGGAAUACCCGCUGA